ACAGAGCUGUUGGCGGUGCGGUUUUCGGGAGAGAACUACUCUACCGCUGACGCUCAUCGCUAGACCACAUUCCUCUGCAAAAAAUCCAAACCAGAGCUUCUUCUAAUUGUGAGUCUGGGAAUUUCGCCUUCAUCGCGCGUGGCAUAGCGGCGCUCCAAGCAAUUUUCUAAAUUUCCAACCAACAAGAAUUGGAUUUUGCAUCAACAUUUUCUUGGAUUUUUUUAUCAGGUUAUUUGUGCCGUUGUUGCUGUUGCUGUUUGCUGAGGAGACUUAGACCGGAAAAGCGGCGAGUUUGUUGACAUGUUUAUGCUUCCACUUUUAAUGACUUUCGCAUCGCUUUGAGGCCAAAGGUAAUUCUCGACUCAGCAACGUCAAAAAAUCCAAAAAACUACAACAACAGCACAGCCAGAUACUCGCUCCCAUAUUACGUCAUUCGAAUGGAAUGGAAUCAACCUUGAAACGUUAGGCUGCAAAUGGGGAUGGGACUGGGACUGGGCCUGGGCCUGGGCAUGGAAAUGGGCGU